rnacentral:tRNA from 1 species
AUUGACGAAGCAAAACCUGGUCCUGCCAUAGAUCUAAGCCCUUCCUUUAGAGGUUCAAAUCCUCUCGCCAAUU